GCUGCAAGUGGGCAGGGGCUGGGCUGAGGAGGGAGGUGCCAGAGGGACCCCCAUGUCUAGAAGGUCUGCAAGGGCCACAGAUCAAAGGUCAUAGAGCCGGGAACUUCUCUCUAAGGUGGAGACAGACCAGCUGAGCAUGCGGGUCAGCAUCACAGCCUCCAGGAGGCUGCUGAGAGACCACGGAUCUCACCUCUGUCAUUUUACAGAUGAGAAAACAGAGACCCAAAUGGGAGGACACCAGCCUGUGCGGCAGAGCCAGGCCCAACCCAGGUCUCCCAACUCCCAGCCAGCCGCUCUUUUCACGCAACCUUUAAUCUCCCUCCUGUGGGUUCUGGUGCCUCCUCCCACCCCCUGGGAACCCUGAUCAUGAGCAGAAGGAGAAGGGGAGUGGCCAGGGCCCCCACAGCCCCAGGCACCAGAAGCUGGGUGCCUUCCUCCAUCCUCACUCCCAAAGAGAAGGGAGAAUCGGCGGUACCCCACCGGCCCCUCCUCCGGGUCGGAACCAGUUGGUGCCUGCCCACACCUGGUGCCUCUGUUGCCGGCAGCAGAGCCCGGAGCCAGCACCAGCCACAGCAAGGGCAAAGUCACCAGGGCAGCUGCUGGGGCCACAGGGAGUCACAGAAAGGGAGCUCCCGCGGAAGGCCUUGAGCACCUGCCACCUUGACCCCUCCUGAGCUGAGGCCCAAACACCCCUUCGAUGGGCGCCCAGCUCCCCUGCAACUUCUCCACUGCUGCCCACCAGAGCAACGCGGGCAGCUGGCAGGCUCCAGUGAUCAUCAUUCCAACGCUGCUCUCCUCGUCCACCCUGCUGGUGGUCAGCUGUAUCUUAUGGAAGACAUGCCGCCGGUGGGCUCGGGUCUCCAGCCCCAGCCCUCAGCCCCAGUGAGGGGCCCAGGUAAGCCACGCAAGGACCACACGGACAGAGAGUUCCAUUUCUGUUUUAUUCUUAGUGUCCUUGAGCACAACACCCGAGAAAAGCCCUGCUCCGUCUGUAUUGCCCAAAGGGGUGACACACAA